rnacentral:rRNA from 1 species
GAGUUUGAUCAUGGCUCAGAUUGAACGCUGGCGGCAUGCCUUACACAUGCAAGUCGAACGGCAGCACGGGAGCUUGCUCCUGGUGGCGAGUGGCGAACGGGUGAGUAAUGCAUCGGAACGUAUCCUGGAGUGGGGGAUAACGUGGCGAAAGUUACGCUAAUACCGCAUAUUCUGUGAGCAGGAAAGCGGGGGACCUUCGGGCCUCGCGCUCUUGGAGCGGCCGAUGUCGGAUUAGCUAGUUGGUGAGGUAAAGGCUCACCAAGGCGACGAUCCGUAGCAGGUCUGAGAGGAUGAUCUGCCACACUGGAACUGAGACACGGUCCAGACUCCUACGGGAGGCAGCAGUGGGGAAUUUUGGACAAUGGGGGCAACCCUGAUCCAGCCAUGCCGCGUGAGUGAAGAAGGCCUCGGUU